UACGGGGGGAGCAAGCGUUGUUCGGAUUUACUGGGCGUAAAGGGCGCGUAGGCGGUCGUGACAAGUCACUUGUGAAAUCUCCGGGCUUAACUCGGAACGGUCAAGUGAUACUGUCGGACUAGAGUACAGAAGGGGCAACUGGAAUUCUCGGUGUAGCGGUGAAAUGCGUAGAUAUCGAGAGGAACACCUGCGGCGAAGGCGGGUUGCUGGGCUGAUACUGACGCUGAGGAGCGAAAGUGUGGGGAGCGAACAGG
rnacentral:rRNA from 1 species